rnacentral:rRNA from 1 species
CCUACGGGUGGCAGCAGUGAGGAAUAUUGGUCAAUGGGAGAGAUCCUGAACCAGCCAAGCCGCGUGAGGGAAGACGGCCCUAUGGGUUGUAAACCUCUUUUGUCGGAGAACAAAACCCGGGACGUGUCCCGGACUGCGUGUAUCCGAAGAAAAAGCAUCGGCUAACUCCGUGCCAGCAGCCGCGGUAAUACGGAGGAUGCGAGCGUUAUCCGGAUUUAUUGGGUUUAAAGGGUGCGCAGGCGGAGGUGCAAGUCAGCGGUCAAAUUGCGGGGCUCAACCCCGUACUGCCGUUGAAACUGCAUCCCUUGAGUGCGCGAGAAGUAUGCGGAAUGCGUGGUGUAGCGGUGAAAUGCAUAGAUAUCACGCAGAACUCCGAUUGCGAAGGCAGCAUACCGGCGCGCAACUGACGCUCAUGCACGAAAGCGUGGGUAUCGAACAGGAUUAGAUACCCCAGUAGUC